rnacentral:rRNA from 1 species
UACGAAGGGGGCUAGCGUUGCUCGGAAUGACUGGGCGUAAAGGGCUCGUAGGCGGCCAACUAAGUCAGACGUGAAAUCCCUCGGCUUAACCGGGGAACUGCAUCUGAUACUGGAUGGCUUGAGAUUGGGAGAGGGAUGCGGAAUUCCAGGUGUAGCGGUGAAAUGCGUAGAUAUCUGGAGGAACACCGGUGGCGAAGGCGGCAUCCUGGACCAACACUGACGCUGAGGAGCGAAAGCCAGGGGAGCAAACGGG